rnacentral:rRNA from 1 species
GGUGCUUGCAUCAUGAUUUACAUUUGAGUGAGUGGCGAACUGGUGAGUAACACGUGGGAAACCUGCCCAGAAGCGGGGGAUAACACCUGGAAACAGAUGCUAAUACCGCAUAACAACUUGGACCGCAUGGUCCGAGYUUGAAAGAUGGCUUCGGCUAUCACUUUUGGAUGGUCCCGCGGCGUAUUAGCUAGAUGGUGRGGUAACGGCUCACCAUGGCAAUGAUACGUAGCCGACCUGAGAGGGUAAUCGGCCACAUUGGGACUGAGACACGGCCCAAACUCCUACGGGAGGCAGCAGUAGGGAAUCUUCCACAAUGGACGAAAGUCUGAUGGAGCAACGCCGCGUGAGUGAAGAAGGGUUUCGGCUCGUAAAACUCUGUUGUUAAAGAAGAACAUAUCUGAGAGUAACUGUUCAGGUAUUGACGGUAUUUAACCAGAAAGCCACGGCUAACUACGUGCCAGCAGCCGCGGUAAUACGUAGGUGGCAAGCGUUGUCCGGAUUUAUUGGGCGUAAAGCGAGCGCAGGCGGUUUUUUAAGUCUGAUGUGAAAGCCUUCGGCUCAACCGAAGAAGUGCAUCGGAAACUGGGAAACUUGAGUGCAGAAGAGGACAGUGGAACUCCAUGUGUAGCGGUGAAAUGCGUAGAUAUAUGGAAGAACACCAGUGGCGAAGGCGGCUGUCUGGUCUGUAACUGACGCUGAGGCUCGAAAGUAUGGGUAGCAAACAGGAUUAGAUACCCUGGUAGUCCAUACCGUAAACGAUGAAUGCUAAGUGUUGGAGGGUUUCCGCCCUUCAGUGCUGCAGCUAACGCAUUAAGCAUUCCGCCUGGGGAGUACGGCCGCAAGGCUGAAACUCAAAGGAAUUGACGGGGGCCCGCACAAGCGGUGGAGCAUGUGGUUUAAUUCGAAGCUACGCGAAGAACCUUACCAGGUCUUGACAUACUAUGCAAAUCUAAGAGAUUAGACGUUCCCUUCGGGGACAUGGAUACAGGUGGUGCAUGGUUGUCGUCAGCUCGUGUCGUGAGAUGUUGGGUUAAGUCCCGCAACGAGCGCAACCCUUAUUAUCAGUUGCCAGCAUUAAGUUGGGCACUCKGGUGAGACUGCCGGUGACAAACCGGAGGAAGGUGGGGAUGACGUCAAAUCAUCAUGCCCC